GGCGGCAUGCUUAACACAUGCAAGUCGAACGAGGUCCCCGGGCUUGCCCGGGAUCACCGAGUGGCGAACGGGUGAGUAACGCGUGGGAACCUGCCUUGCGGCGGGGAAUAACUGCUGGAAACGGCAGCUAAUACCGCAUACGCUCUUUGGAGGAAAGGCUUCGGCCACCGCUUGAGGGUCCCGCGUCCGAUUAGUUUGUUGGUGAGGUAACGGCUCACCAAGGCGACGAUCGGUAGCUGGUCUGAGAGGAUGAUCAGCCACACUGGGACUGAGACACGGCCCAGACUCCUACGGGAGGCAGCAGUGGGGAAUAUUGGACAAUGGGGGCAACCCUGAUCCAGCAAUGCCGCGUGUGUGAAGAAGGCCUUAGGGUUGUAAAGCACUUUCACCCGUGAAGAUGAUGACGGUAGCGGGAGAAGAAGCUCCGGCUAACUCCGUGCCAGCAGCCGCGGUAAUACGGAGGGGGCUAGCGUUGCUCGGAAUUACUGGGCGUAAAGCGCACGUAGGCGGCUAAUCCAGUUAGGCGUGAAAGGCCUGGGCUUAACCUAGGAACUGCGCUUAAUACUGAUUGGCUAGAAUCCGAGAGAGGGUAGUGGAAUUCCCAGUGUAGAGGUGAAAUUCGUAGAUAUUGGGAAGAACACCAGUGGCGAAGGCGGCUACCUGGCUCGGUAUUGACGCUGAGGUGCGAAAGCGUGGGGAGCGAACAGGAUUAGAUACCCUGGUAGUCCACGCCGUAAACGAUGAGUGCUAGUUGUCGGGCAGCAUGCUGUUCGGUGACACAGCNAACGC
rnacentral:rRNA from 1 species